AUGCCUGCCAGUGGAAAUUGGAAGCGCAAGAUGCUGAGACUGUGCUGGAAGGAAGUGAUCUCUGAAGUGAGGGGAGACGGACUGCUAAUUCCAACAACAAACUUCCACCUGCUGUCAAGAAUGAUUAUGGAUCGGAGGGGAGCAAGCUGUUUAAAAACCUGCACCAGGCAGUUCUUGGAAACAGCUACCUGGGUGGAGAUGCUUUUUCAUCAAAAGAAAACCCAGGAAACGUUUGCACAGAUGUGGUUGACACAGGAGGUCAGGAUCUCAUUUCGUAUGUCACUGAUAAUCUUAGCUGAGAUAAUUGCGUACAUAUGGCUGUCUAAACAUGAAGUCAACAGGAAAGUAUCCAGCUACCAGCUACAUGUGGUAGUACGAGUAAAUCAGAUUUAA
rnacentral:lncRNA from 1 species